AUACGAAAGGUGCAAGCGUUGUUCGGAUUUACUGGGCGUAAAGAGAGUGUAGGUUGUUUAUUAAGUCGGAUGUGAAAUCCCGGGGCUCAACCCCGGAACUGCAUUCGAUACUGAUAGGCUAGAGUUCAGGAGGGGUAAGCGGAAUUCCGUGUGUAGCAGUGAAAUGCGUAGAUAUACGGAGGAACACCUGAGGCGAAGGCGGCUUACUGGACCGAUACUGACACUGAGACUCGAAAGCGUGGGUAGCAAACAGGAUUAGAAACCCCGGUAGUCC
rnacentral:rRNA from 1 species